rnacentral:rRNA from 1 species
UACGUGGGGAGCAAGCGUUGUUCGGAUUUACUGGGCGUAAAGGGCGCGUAGGCGGUCGUGACAAGUCACUUGUGAAAUCUCCGGGCUUAACCCGGAAAGGUCAAGUGAUACUGUCGGACUAGAGUACAGAAGGGGCAACUGGAAUUCUCGGUGUAGCGGUGAAAUGCGUAGAUAUCGAGAGGAACACCUGCGGCGAAGGCGGGUUGAUGGGCUGAUACUGACGCUGAUGCGCGAAAGCUAGGGGAGCGAACGGG